CAAACGACUCUCGGCAACGGAUAUCUCGGCUCACGCAUCGAUGAAGAACGUAGCAAAAUGCGAUACUUGGUGUGAAUUGCAGAAUCCCGUGAACCAUCGAGUUUUUGAACGCAAGUUGCGCCCGAAGCCAUCUGGUUGAGGGCACGUCUGCCUGGGCGUCACACA
rnacentral:rRNA from 1 species